rnacentral:rRNA from 1 species
AACGCGAAGAACCUUACCUGGGCUCGAAGCGCAGUGGACCGGGGUAGAAAUAUCCCUUCCCCUUAAAAGGCUGCUGCGGAGGUGCUGCAUGGCUGUCGUCAGCUCGUGUCGUGAGAUGUUGGGUUAAGUCCCGCAACGAGCGCAACCCUUAUCCCUAGUUGCCAUCGGGUCAAGCCGGGCACUCUAGUGAAACUGCCUGGGAUAACCAGGAGGAAGGUGGGGAUGACGUCAAGUCCUCAUGGCCUUUAUGUCCAGGGCUACACACGUGCUACAAUGGUCGGUACAAACCGUCGCAAACCCGUGAGGGGGAGCUAAUCGGAAAAAGCCGACCUCAGUUCGGAUUGGAGUCUGCAACUCGACUCCAUGAAGCUGGAAUCGCUAGUAAUGCUAUAUCAGAACGAUAGCGUGAAUACGUUCCCGGGCCUUGUACACACCGACACGC